rnacentral:rRNA from 1 species
UACGAAGGGGGCUAGCGUUGCUCGGAAUCACUGGGCGUAAAGGGUGCGUAGGCGGGUCUUUAAGUCAGGGGUGAAAUCCUGGAGCUCAACUCCAGAACUGCCUUUGAUACUGAAGAUCUUGAGUUCGGGAGAGGUGAGUGGAACUGGCGAGUGUAGAGGUGAAAUUCGUAGAUAUUCGCAAGAACACCAGUGGCGAAGGCGGCUCACUGGCCCGAUACUGACGCUGAGGCACGAAAGCGUGGGGAGCAAAGCAG